CGUUAUCUGACACUGCCACGUGUUGAGUAGCAAUGUUGAAAUUGGUUUUAAAUAUCUGUAACCACGGCACAACUGUAGCAUGAGUUUAUUCAAAAAGAAGUAACGGUGAUAUUACAAAUAGGCUUGCUCUAGCCGUUUUGACGGCCGUAAAAGGGCAUUUGGUUGGGGUGCCCUCCACCUCGCUGCAAAACAUUUUUAGGAGAUGCAACCAACUACCAACUAUGGGGAGGGAAGUGGGAGAGGAGAGGGACCCAUGUACCCCGCUUCAAUCAAGCAGGCUACAGUCACCCACUUGGCUUCUGUCAUCCCCAAGAUUGAACCUGGAGACAAAUCCAGCUAUUGCCUCCUCCUUGUCAGGCCACUCACACUGGGCAGACAGGAGUCCUGGGUUGGAGAGCUCGCACAGCUUCUGUACAUAUGCCGCUGGAUCAAGGUUGAUGUCAUUAAAGAGGAGAUCCAGGAGCCUGUCUACAUAGACUGUCAUCUUUUUGAAAAGGGAAAUGUUUGUUAAAUGAGUAGUCAAUUUCAUUUCCUUUUAUUUUCUGUUCUGAGUUAUGAUGCUAAAAUGUGUUGAUGUAGUGAUCUACUCAUUCUACAAUGUGUUUUCUGGGUACUCAAUUUGAAAUAUUUUAUUUACUUUUUUGGUUGUGAAACUUUUCAAUACUGGUAUUUGAAAUGUUCGUGCGCCUGAAAUGCUCAAAUUCAGAUUUUAAAUGAAUAACUAUUAAAUCAUGAUUAGCCUCAAUGACACAAGCUACAUCAACUGUAAGACAACAACCCACACAAUGGAAUGGCAAAAUAUGAUUUUCAGGGGUAAAUU